AACUUAAAGAUGAACUACCUGAACGACAACCUCGCUUCAUUGUGUAUAGUUAUAAAUAUCAACAUGAUGAUGGAAGAGUUUCAUAUCCUCUGUGCUUUAUUUUCUCCAGUCCUGUUGGAUGUAAGCCUGAACAACAGAUGAUGUAUGCUGGAAGUAAGAAUAAGCUAGUCCAGACAGCUGAACUAACCAAGGUAUUUGAAAUAAGAAAUACCGAAGACCUAACUGAAGAAUGG
rnacentral:misc_RNA from 1 species